CUGGGAGGCGGGCCAUCGGCCUCCGCGGAGGGCCGUGGGGGGCGUGGCCCGCGAGGAACUCGUCAUGCCGUUGGCGCGGCGUCUGUCUGACCGGGGUCGCCCGGGCCCCACGUCGGGGCCAUGAGGGCGCGCAGCAUUUAAGGUCUCGGCCCAGAGGACAACAGCCUUUGUGGGGAAGAGCAACCCUGUGGGCCAGACGCCUGCCCACCCCUUAGCCAGCCCCCCGGAUCAAGAGGCUGCCGCCUGCCGGAUCUGGCCCCUGCUCUCAAAGUGGGCAUUCUGCCAUGGGAGGGGACAGGGCUGAGCCUGAAGCCCCCGACGCUGGGCCUCUGGGCCCCCGAAGCCCUGGGCGCGAGCAGGCGCUCUCGCACCUGCUGAACCUGCUUCGGUCAGCAGGCCACACGGGGUGUCCUGCACACUGACCAGCUUUGUUAGCAUUUGUAUACUUAAGGAGUGGCCCAGAGACGCCUCAGCG